AUAAACUUAUUUGAUUUAGGUUCCCUGUUGCUGCGCCGAUCAUCGAGUUUCCCUCCAAUGUCAAUGAGGCAAGGCCUGCCUCCAAUGCCACAUUCAUUAACUGAGUUUGCGGCAAUACUUGAAAGACCGGAAUACAGCCAUUUGAAAGGGGUGCAGGGAAUAGAGGAUGCUGGUAACUUUUUCCCUGGUCUGAUAGGUGGCCAGAAAGAGGGCUGGACUGCAGCCGUAUAUAUCCCCGCGGCUGCAGAAUGAUCCCAUGCUGCAACAGACGACAAGGCUCCACAUGGAUGCAACAUUUAAGGUGUUGCCACAGGAGCUGAAUGCAUAUCAGUUGAUAACAGUCCAUGCUGAGUACAUGCAUGAACUGUUUCAUGUGGCAUACGCCAUAAUGUCUUUGAAAAGCCAAUCUGCCUACGUUAGGGUUCUCCGGUACAUCCGGGGGGAGAUCCCGAAUUGGAAUCCCCAAUUCAUAAUAUCAGAUUUUGAGACAGCGACGAGAAGCCCAACUGAUGGGCUGUUUUUUCCACUAUGCCCAGGUUAGAACCAUGUCUGAUCUCCGUGCUAAACUGGACAAGCUGGAGGCUGUCGAGGGACCCUCAAGGAUCGCCAUGACCGAGCUUACCAACCCUGCUGGCUACAUAAUCACGGCGGCACGGUUGCACAGUCAUGCUCAAUAUGGCACUAGCGUUAUUUUGGAGGUACUGGUGGGCAACAUAGUGAAGAUGGUUUUUUACCAAAGCGCUUCGGACAAACUAUCUCAGUCGUAUGUGGACGCGCUGGCU